AUACUCUGGUUUCUCUUCAGAUCGUAUAAAUCUUUCGCCUUUUACUAAAGAUUUCCGUGGAGAGGAACAUUUAUGAGUUUGUACCCAAUUUUUUGAGGCUUCGCUUCGGCGAAGCU
ensembl:snRNA U5 U5 spliceosomal RNA